AUCACUUCUCGGCCUUUUGGCUAAGAUCAAGUGUAGUAUCUGUUCUUAUCAGUUUAAUAAAUGUAAACCUAGAUAAAUGAUUAUUAAACCUAGAUAAAUGUAAAGUUAGGAUGUAUGUCAACUUCAAAUUAACUUUACAUGUCCCUCCCCCUCCUUUACUAAGGACUAUUAUU
rnacentral:snRNA from 1 species